CACCCACCCACCCCCACCAAACAAUCUACUUUCUAGGCCAACCACCCUCAUCUACUAACUAACUUCCUGUUUUCUAGGAAUCCUGGCUGAAGCUUCGUCAGAAAAUGCAUAAUCAACCUUUUUCAUCGUCACAAACGGGAGUUCCGACCGAAUUAAGGAAUACCCAGAUGAUUUCCUCUUUGCUUUCCGGGGAUGACCCCGCAGCUUCAUCCAAUUUUGACUGGUCGGAUUUACUCGACUUCGACCUACACGAACAAUUGAACAUCUCAUUCGAUGACCCACUUCACCAAGAGCAGCAGCCGGAGACAGAAUUCGUGGCGCCGGUGAUACCUUCUUCGGAGGAUUCACCGCAUAGCCAAGAUACGGAUGCGGGUCGGAUCAGGAAGAGGGACCCGAGGAUGGCGUGCUCGAAUUUUCUGGCGGGUCGGAUCCCGUGUGCUUGCCCCGAGUUAGAUGAGAAGAUGGAGGAAGAGGAGAUGGCAGGGAUUGGGCCAGGAAAGAAACGGGCUAGGACUGUACGGGCUUCUGCCGGAGCUGGGGCGAGGUGUCAAGUACCCGAUUGUGAGGCGGAUAUCAGUGAGCUGAAAGGGUAUCAUAAGAGACACAGGGUGUGCUUACGUUGUGCUAAUGCAACUUCUGUGGUUCUCGAUGGGCACAGUAAGAGAUAUUGUCAGCAGUGUGGCAAGUUUCAUAUUUUGUCAGACUUUGAUGAAGGUAAGCGUAGUUGUAGAAGAAAAUUAGAGCGACACAACAACAGGCGUAGGAGAAAAGCCACUGAUACGUCCAAAACGUCUGCUGAAAAGGAAUCUCAGCAGCUCACAACGGCUGAUGAUGUUAGUGGUGAUGACGACAUCGUCAAAGAUAACACAUGCAUGGGCAGCCAGUUAGGAGAAAAGGAAAUCCUAUUAGAAUCUGAAGGACAUGUGCCGAUAUGCUCUACUCAAGGCAUCCAGAAUAAUCACAGUGAUAGUUUCACAGCUUCUGGUGAAACACAGGUUGAUGCAGAAAAGGAGAACUACAAAAAUUCCCAUUCUCCAUCAUAUUAUGACAACAAGAGUGCCCUUUCUUCAGUGUGUCCCACUGGUCGGAUCUCAUUCAAGCUUUAUGAUUGGAACCCCGCAGAGUUCCCUCGAAGACUCCGGCACCAAAUCUUCCAGUGGUUGGCCAGUAUGCCUGUCGAAUUGGAGGGCUAUAUUCGUCCAGGUUGUACAAUCUUGACAGUUUUUGUUGCAAUGCCGACAUUCAAGUGGGGUAAGUUACUAGAAGACCCAGCUGCACACUUAUAUGAGUUAAUUGCAUCACCUGGAAACAUGCUUCGUGGAAGAGGAAGCUUUCUUAUUUAUCUCAACAACAUGGUAUUUCGUGUUACCAAAGGUGAAAAUUCAGUAGUUAAAGUCAAGCUGAAGGGACCAGCACCAAAGCUUAUGUCUAUUUAUCCUACGUGCUUUGAGGCUGGCAAGCCUAUGGAAUUUUUUGCCUGUGGAAGCAAUCUAAUGCAGCCCAGAUUCCGGUUUCUUGUGUCAUUUGGGGGAAGGUAUUUGGGGAAUGAUAUCAAUGUCGUACCAUCAGAUUGUAAAUAUGAAGGUGAUUCUAGUAGCACGGAGCAUCAAUUAUUAAAGAUACAUGUCCCUAGAACUGAAGCAGAUCUUUUUGGCCCCGCUUUUGUUGAGGUUGAGAAUGAAUCUGGCUUAUCUAACUUCAUCCCCAUCCUCAUUGCGGAAAAGGAUAUUUGUGCAGAAAUGAAGGAAAUACAACGGAAGUUCUGUUCUGGAGGGUCAGAAUGCACUGCUGUUUGUUCUCCCUGUGAAGCUUCCACGUCUAGAAAGUCAGAAUUUUCAGAAUUUAUGUUGGAUGUGGCAUGGUUACUAAGGGAGCCUUCAUCAGAAAAUGUUCAGAUUCUGGCGUCUGUACAGAUGCAGAGAUUUAAUUAUUUGUUGAACAUUUUAAUGGAAAGUCAGUCAACUAUUAUUUUGGAAAGAGUAUUGUCUUAUUUUGAAAAUAUAGUGAAGAGAAACAUGUUAGCUGGCAUCACUGAUGCUGACAUGACACUUUUUCAGAAGAAUAUUCUCGAGAAAAAUAUUCUGCUCAAGGAAAGAUUGCAUCUAAAGGAAUAUUUUGCGGGAGAUUCAGGACAAAUUAUGCAGGAGCUUCCUAAUUUGCAGGACACAGCGGUACCACAUAAGCACAACAUAGAGUUUGGUCCUACUUAUUGGGAGCUAACUUCUAGAGUCCCACUUUUGGAUGCAGAAUUGCCAUUGAGAGUGAAGGAACAACAAUCAGGGAAGUCCUGUGGCUUCUUGGUUAGAAAGACACUAUUGACGUCUCGUACUCUUGUUUUUGUAAUCUCUGGUUUUGCUUUGUGUCUUGGUCUAUGUGCAACAUUCCUGCAUCCUAGAAAAGUUGGUGACAUUGCUAUGACAAUCCGGAGGUGUUUGUUUGACAAAACUUAAAAUUGCAUGUAACUUUUACCAAAAUGACGGUCUGCAGUCACAGAAUAUAGGUGUGAUCUCCAUUGCUCGGGGUCCCCCUUUGUGGCAUUCUUGAUGUACUAUAUUACCUGUGCUAUGUAAACACAAAACUGUAUCAGCUAUGUAGCUUCAACUAGUUGUGUAGUUUCUUUGUACAAUUUGUUGGAUAGUCACCCUAAAAGCCUUUUAUUGCUGACAUCAGUUGUCCCCAAAGAGCAGAUACACUGAUACUAUUUGUGCUCAACUUCUUUAAGCUUUGGACUCUUGAAACAUUUUGAUGUGAAUAUGCCUGUUAUUU
rnacentral:misc_RNA from 1 species